UACGUAGGUGGCAAGCGUUGUCCAGAUUCACUGGGUGUAAAGGGUGCGCAGGCGGAUUGGCAAGUCAGAGGUGAAAUCUCACGGCUUAACCGUGAAACUGCCUUUGAUACUGCUAAUCUUGAGUUAGGGAGAGGUUGAUGGAAUUCCAGGUGUAGCGGUGAAAUGCGUAGAUAUCUGGAAGAACACCAGUGGCGAAGGCGGUCAACUGGCCCUUAACUGACGCUCAUGCACGAAAGCGUGGGUAGCGAACAGG
rnacentral:rRNA from 1 species